CCAUUGACUAGCAAGAGCCCAAGUUAAGGUUUUAGUGGAGUCAUAUAUUUGAUCAAGCGAGUCCUUAGGAUACAAAAUAGAAUUGCUUGAUAUGACCAAAGAGGGUGUCGAAAUAAUAGGAAAAUUGGUUUCAUCCACAAAACACAACUUGAAUGAAUUGAAAGGAUAUGAUCCAUACUCCCGAACAAAAAAAUCCAUUGCUUUAUAUAAAAAAACACAUGUGUUUUCAACUUCCUCAGCAUAUUUGGGUAGAUAAUAUCCUGUAAUAUCAAUAGCACUAGAACCCAUAGCAUCAUCAUCUUCAGGUUCACGGAAAUCGGUCAAAUUGAUGUGCUUGAAUGGUCCAGCCGCAAAAGCAAUAUAAUUAGGAGCAACUGGAGUAGUCACACUAAAAUAUACCGUUUUUUUGCGCAUAUCUUUUGGAUGGGUGACCUGGUCCAGCAGAUCGCCACAACAAAUAACUUCAAUAUCAUGAUCUUCAAGUAAAUCGGGUUCAUUACUUAAGUUAAACUGGUGGUCAAACCUAUUAUUCUCGUAAUUAUCAUCAUGUCCAUCAACGCCAUUUGCACCAUUGUUCAAGUCGGAAGGCUGAGUUUUUUCUCGAUGCAUAAGGGAGCUGAGUGUUUUUGGCAACGUGAUCUCAAAUUCCCAAGUCGAUCGUUCCCAAAUGCCAUCGACACAAGGAAGCCAUGAACAAGUGCUGUAAGGAAUUAUAGAAUUGUUUGUAAACACGUGUGGAUAACGAUGAUCUACAGGAUCGAUACCAACAAAUGUAAUCCCGAAAAUAGGUUGAUGAACUGAAAAAUCAAUUGAAACAAUUAGUGGCCUUAGCUCAUCGCCAGGAGGCUUGCUAAGGAAUAUAUUGAUACCUCCCAAAUCAUUCAUCAAUGCUUCAUACUGUAAAUUAAGUUGAUGAUGUUGAUUUACCGUUGAAUUUGGUUCAUCAAUACGUAGUUUCUUUAAAGCAUCACUAUAGGAAAAUUUAGUUAGAUCCCCGUUUACAUAAACUGAAUGGAUUUCUUAACAAGUUAGUAAAUGAUCAUACAAGACGCGCAUUGAAGAAAACAAGCGAAUGAAAGCUAUAAAACUUCCACUCAAAAAUCUACUUACCAGCCUGGUAGCAAUCUAAUACAAUUUUUUGCAAAUUUGAGUCUAUAGGAUUAACUGUUAUAUCCGUCCUUCC